rnacentral:rRNA from 1 species
GACGAACGCUGGCGGCGUGCCUAAUACAUGCAAGUAGAACGCUGAAGGAGGAGCUUGCUUCUCUGGAUGAGUUGCGCAAGGGUGAGUAACGCGUAGGUAACCUGCCUGGUAGCGGGGGAUAACUAUUGGAAACGAUAGCUAAUACCGCAUAAGAGUAGAUGUCGCAUGACAUUUGCUUAAAAGGUGCAAUUGCAUCACUACCAGAUGGACCUGCGUUGGAUUAGCUAGUUGGUGGGGUAACGGCUCACCGAGGCAACGAUACAUAGCCGACCUGCGAGGGGGAGCGGCCACACUGGGAAUGAGACACGGCCCAGACUCCUGCGGGAGGCAGCAGUAGGGAAUCUUCGGCAAUGGACGGAAGGCUGAACGAGCAACGCCGCGUGAGUGAAGAAGGUUUUCGGAUCGUAGAGCUCUGUUGUCUGAGAAGAACGAGUGUGAGAGUGGAAAGUUCACACUGUGACGGUAUCUUAACAGAAAGAGACGGCUAACUACGUG